rnacentral:misc_RNA from 1 species
GACGGAGGGGGCAAGCGUUGCUCGGAAUCACUGGGCGUAAAGGGCUAGUAGGCGGCCGGGCAAGUCCGGUGUGAAAUCCCUCGGCUCAACCGAGGAAUUGCAUCGGAAACUGCACGGCUAGAGUACGGGAGAGGUGAGCGGAAUUCCCAGUGUAGCGGUGAAAUGCGUAGAUAUUGGGAGGAACACCAGAGGCGAAGGCGGCUCACUGGACCGUUACUGACGCUCAGAAGCGAAAGCUAGGGGAGCGAAAGGG